rfam:Magnaporthe poae ATCC 64411 mitochondrial scaffold supercont1.206, whole genome shotgun sequence.
GAGGCUAUAGCUUAAUUGGUAAAGCAUACUGCUCAUAACAGUACUUACUAAGUGUUCAAGUCACUUUAGCCUUA